rnacentral:lncRNA from 1 species
CAGAUCCUAAGCACUGGGUAUGAAGGCCAAGCAAAAAGCCUUGGUUCUGGGCAGGAUCUGCAGUCACAUUUCUAGAUUACCAGCUCAUCCAGGACUUGAGAGACCAAGACCCAGGAGAAAAGGAAACCUCAGAGAGGUCUUAAUUUUCAUCCAGACCACCUUCAGCCCACUUCUACUGACCACAAGCUUUUGGAUCCUGCCCUGGGUCUCUGAGCACAGCAGAAUACAGGAGAAUCCCUUUCUUCUGGAGACAUGAUGCCUUAUCUUCCCUCCCAAAGGACCAUCUCUGCUUCAAUUCCACUGCCAGCCACAUCCUUGCUACCACCCUCUUACUACUUCCUAUUCCAGCCAAACUGUAUUAGUUUUUAAUUUAUUUCACUCAGUUAUUCUUAUUACAGUUUAAAUAUAGAAAAUACAAAAUAUGGAUAUUUAUUUUAUUUCUUAUUAUACAAGCAUAUCCAUGUUAUCUUUGAUAUUGCUACUUGGUCCACACAGGUGGAUAAGGUACCAUAUUUACCAUCUGACCCUUUAUAGAAAAAGUUAGCUGACCCCUCGUCUAAACUAUGAAGACAGAAACAUCUGUUUUUUUCCUUAUUGUAGUCCCACAACAGGUGUAAAUGUGUCCUAAAUGAAUAUCAUUAAGUGAAUAAAUGAUGGAAAAAUUGUA